GGUUAGAAAGCUUGCUUUCGAUACCUAGUGGCGAACGGGUGAGUAAUGCUUAGGAAUCUGCCUAGUAGUGGGGGAUAACUUGGGGAAACUCAAGCUAAUACCGCAUACGACCUACGGGUGAAAGGGGGCGCAAGCUCUCGCUAUUAGAUGAGCCUAAGUCGGAUUAGCUAGUUGGUGGGGUAAAGGCCUACCAAGGCGACGAUCUGUAGCUGGUCUGAGAGGAUGAUCAGCCACACUGGGACUGAGACACGGCCCAGACUCCUACGGGAGGCAGCAGUGGGGAAUAUUGGACAAUGGGCGAAAGCCUGAUCCAGCCAUGCCGCGUGUGUGAAGAAGGCCUUUUGGUUGUAAAGCACUUUAAGUAGGGAGGAAAAGCUAAUGGUUAAUACCCAUUAGCCCUGACGUUACCUACAGAAUAAGCACCGGCUAACUCUGUGCCAGCAGCCGCGGUAAUACAGAGGGUGCAAGCGUUAAUCGGAAUUACUGGGCGUAAAGCGCGCGUAGGUGGUUACUUAAGUCAGAUGUGAAAGCCCCGGGCUUAACCUGGGAACUGCAUCUGAUACUGGGUGACUAGAGUAGGUGAGAGGGGAGUAGAAUUCCAGGUGUAGCGGUGAAAUGCGUAGA
rnacentral:rRNA from 1 species